GACGAACGCUGGCGGCGUGCUUAACACAUGCAAGUCGAGCGGUAAGGCCCUUUCGGGGGUACACGAGCGGCGAACGGGUGAGUAACACGUGGGUGACCUGCCCUCAGCUCUGGGAUAAGGCCUGGGAAACCGGGUCUAAAUACCGGAUAUGACUCCAUGACGCAUGUUGUGGGGUGGAAAGCCUUGUGCGGCUGAGGAUGGGCCCGCGGCCUAUCAGCUUGUUGGUGGGGUGAUGGCCUACCAAGGCGACGACGGGUAGCCGGCCUGAGAGGGCGACCGGCCACACUGGGACUGAGACACGGCCCAGACUCCUACGGGAGGCAGCAGUGGGGAAUCUUGCGCAAUGGGCGAAAGGCCUGACGCAGCGACGCCGCGUGAGGGAUGACGGCCU
rnacentral:rRNA from 1 species